AUCGAAAAUCAUCGAGACAGGACGUGUUACGGCUUGUGACGAGUGACUUCAAUUACGCAAUUAUUGUUUAAAUGCCUCAAUUGAUGACUUCGGAUGAAUAAUAGUACACGUCACGAUAAUUUAUAUCUGAUAAUUUUCCUGUAUUAUAUUUCAGAUUAUAAUUGAAUGCUUGGAUUGAUUGUUAGCAAAAAAGGCGGGAAAGAUUUCAAUAUGGACGCCAUUAUACUUCUGCAUGUACAGUGGAAAUAUUUGUGAUCGCGUGCAAUGCGGUCGGUAGAGUCAGUGUUUGUUUCGUAAUAGUAUCUUUAUAUUUUUUAAGAUAAAAUGGUUCUGGAUAUAUUUUGUUAAAAUAAUUUUUCGCGAAAUUCGAGUCAGUGUUUGUUCGCCGAUUAUAAAUUAAACAUAUACGUUAGUAGAUUUUUAUUUUUAUUUUUUUUUUCCUAAACAUUUAUUUUCGGUAUAAAAUAGAGUCAGUGCUCUCAAGGAAUAAAGCGGUCAUCCAUCACGCGAAGA